CCCCUAUUAUACCAAUAAGUAAUUAUUAUAAGCCUAAGUAUUAAUAGUUAUUUUCUAAAAAUUUGAAAAAUUUGGCGGUGGUUCAGUCCUGUCAGAGGAACCUGUCUUUUAAACGAUACACCACGAAAUAUUUUACUUAAACUGAUAAAGUAUGUAUACCAUCAUUAUUAGGUAAUUUUUAUAGAAUAAAUUACUAAAAGACUAGCAGGUAAAGCUAAAUAUAUUAGAUCAAGGUGCAGCUUAUGUUUAAGUUAAGAUGGGUUACAAUAAUAUUUAUUUAUUACGGAUAGGUGAUUUAAAUAUUGCCUGGAAGGAGGAUUUGAUUGUAAAAAUAGUUUAGUAUGAUAUUUAGAUAUAGGCUCUGAAGCAUGUACAUAUCGCCCGUCGCUUUCAUUCAUAAAAUGAGAUAAGUCGUAACAUAGUAGAUGUAC
rnacentral:rRNA from 1 species